AAACAAAGUCUGCAUAACUCUUCUAUAUCCUCCUCGAAACUUGAGAAGAAUCUGAGUUUUUAUCUUUCCUUCUGUAAUGCAAAAUUUACUAUAUACCAAAGAUGAGUUACUGUUCCUAAGGGUCCGAUUUAAAGUGAUGGUUUUGCCCUCGUUCGAGAUUUUUUAUGCGGUUCUGCCACUGAGCUGUACUAGAAUCAGUUUCUUCUUUCUUCUACGGCCAUCCGAUUCUUCUCUCUCCUGUUGGUUUCUCUCUUCCUCCCUUCUGCCCGCCCCUAGGUUCAUCAAGCUAUCGCCAUCGAAGAAGUACAGCAACACUGCAACCACACAUUUUCGUAGCAGGAGAUAGUUUCUCUGUACGAGAGGUUCUGUCAGCUCGAUCGCAGCGGCGGAGGUUUCAUCUUCGCCGACGAGUUUUCUGUCCGUACCGGAAUUCGCAGUCAAUCCUCUCUCUCAGUUUUGGCUGGGUGGACGUAGAUACUGGGGGAGAGGGAUUGGAGCAAGACCAUAUAAGCAAGAUCUUCACUUCUUUUUCGUUUCCAGGACCCUCUAUCAAUAUCAGCACUUCUGUUCGCCGACAUCAGAAACAUCCAUCAACAUCAAUACCUAUCACGGCCUGCUCCCAAACUGAGAGAGGAAGAUUUGACUAAAAUCAAAUAGAAAAGGAACUUAACUGAUUCGACGAAGCACAAGAGAACGGCUUUGAGUCUGAGUUUAUUUGAGGGUCUUUACUUACAGAGGUUGCUCUCGAGAAGGGACUGUGGUGUUCUGAUUUCUGCUUUCUGCUUUUGAUGGAUUUGGCAAGAGUGAGGAUCGCAGACUCCACCCCUGUAACUAUAUCUAAGACGGUCCAACUCUCAUAUACGAAGCUUAUUAUAGGGUGGCUUAACUACUACACGAUGGUUGAGAAAUUUGAUUCAUCAAGGGGGUUCAAAAUCUCUACUUAUGUUUACUGGUGGAUACGUCAGGGGAGACCACUCUUUUCAAUUUAAAUGGUCAACAACUUGGGUGUUUCAAGAGCACUGGUUGAAAAUUCCAGAACCUUACUACUGCCUACACAUGUGCAUGAGAGGUUAGGGUUAAUCAAAAAUGCAAAAGUUAGAUUGGAAGAGAAACGAAUAACUCCAUCUAUCGAUAGGAUUGCAGAAAGCCUGAAUAUGUCCAAAAAGAAAGUUAGGAAGUUACUCAGAACGAGUUACAGCGUCAAGCACGAACCACACUUGCAUCAUGAUAAAUCCACGCAUUCCACAGGCGCAACAAUAUAAACUGAGUAUCAAGUGCUCGACAAACCAAGAGAGGCCAACACCUUAUGAAAUGAAUAUCUAAAAGCACCAAAAGUGCGUUCUACCUGCAACCAGUUUUUAUAAAAUCCUUCAAUGUAGACCCUCUUUUGAGUCUCUUUAGCUGGAGACCCAAACACAAGACACAGCUAAAGAAUAGUUUAUCCCUUCCUUGGAAGGUGGAACUAGCUCAUGGUUUUGUGAUGUCGAGGGUGAAAGAAGGAGGCAGCAGUGAUGAGGAUAAUCAAGCGGUGAACAUGUCACGUUUAAUAAUAUUUGUCAGUGAUUGGGUCCAAUCAUUGUUGAUUUCCGAAGGAAAGAAAGUUGAGAGUGGUGGAGAGAAGCAUCAAGCUGAAGUUAUAUAUACGUAUUUGGAUUUAAGAUGCUGGGAGAUUUUUAAAUUCUGUUUGGAGGAGUCUCUGAAAUUAACUGUUUCUUUAACUUUCUCACGGAACCUUUUACGCCCUAUAUGUUGGAUUGCAAGAAGUGCACUGUCCUUAUUGAACAAAACAUUUAUUGGUGAAGGGUUACAAUUGUACACUACUGUGCUUGAUUGUAUUUCAUCCCAAGAAGGCUUCUCAAAUGAAAAUUUAGACGUGUGGAUUACAACUGUAAGUUCAGUUCUUGACCUUGGACUUAAAUUUUACAGUGAAGCUCUUGUUAGUGGCAAUGAGGGUGUAUUUGUUUCCAAUUCUUGUGCUUGGUGCUUGAGCCAUUUGCCAGGUUUUUAAGGGCUCACGCAGCUCGGAAAGAUGGAUUUCGUGAUUUUAGUAAUAAGCUCCUUGAGCCUCUGUUGCGUCUCUUGGGUCUCUUGCAUCUCCAGAUUGGUGGAAGUAAUCCCGGUUGGACGGGAAACUUACUGAAGCUUGUUGAAGAUGGAUUAUCUCAUGGGCUAUAUCACCUGCUCCACAAUGAUGGGUUUUUGAGCUUAU